AAUCAACGCUGGCGGCGUGCCUCAGACAUGCAAGUCGAACGAUUAAAGCUCUCUUCGGAGAGUGUAUAGAGUGGCGCACGGGUGAGUAACACGUAAGUAAUCUACCUUUGAGUGGGGAAUAACGUCCGGAAACGGACGCUAAUACCGCAUAAUGCAGCGGCAUCGCAAGAUGACAGUUGUUAAAGAAUUUAUUCGCUUGAAGAGGAGCUUGCGGCAGAUUAGCUAGUUGGUAAGGUAAUGGCUUACCAAGGCUACGAUCUGUAACCGGUCUAAGAGGACGGUCGGUCACACUGACACUGAAUAACGGGUCAGACUCCUACGGAGGCAGCAGUCGGGAAUUUUGGGCAAUGGGCGAAAGCCUGACCCAGCAACGCCGCGUGAAGGAUGAAGUAUUUCGGUAUGUAAACUUCGAAAGAAUGGGAAGAAUCAAUGACGGUACCAUUUAUAAGGUCCGGCUAACUACGUGCCAGCCGCCGCAGUAAU
rnacentral:rRNA from 1 species